rnacentral:rRNA from 1 species
GAUGAACGCUGACAGAAUGCUUAACACAUGCAAGUCUACUUGAACUUCGGUUUGGGUGGCGGACGGGUGAGUAACGCGUAAAGAACUUGCCUCACAGUUAGGGACAACAUUUGGAAACGAAUGCUAAUACCUGAUAUUAUGAUUUUAGGGCAUCCUAGGAUUAUGAAAGCUAUAUGUGCUGUGAGAGAGCUUUGCGUCCCAUUAGCUAGUUGGAGAGGUAACGGCUCACCAAGGCGAUGAUGGGUAGCCGGCCUGAGAGGGUGAACGGCCACAAGGGGACUGAGACACGGCCCUUACUCCUACGGGAGGCAGCAGUGGGGAAUAUUGGACAAUGGACCAAAAGUCUGAUCCAGCAAUUCUGUGUGCACGAUGACGUUUUUCGGAGUGUAAAGUGCUUUCAGUUGGGAAGAAAAAAAUGACGGUACCAACAGAAGAAGUGACGGCUAAAUACGUG